rnacentral:lncRNA from 1 species
UUUUUAGAAACAAAUACUAAAAACUAUUAAGUUCAUAUAAAAAGUGGACGAGGUUUAUAAAUUACAAAGUAAUAAAACGAUCUUUUAUAUGCAAAGGUGUGAAAAUAUGACUGUAAUUGUGAGGUUUUUCUAUUUUGUAAUCAUCAUUCUUUUUCUAUUUCUUCUUAUUACGAAUGUUGAAGGUUAGUCAAUCUUAUAUAUUUUUUGAUUCUUUUAUACAGUUUAAUUAUAUUAUUUAAUUAUCUUUUUUCUUUCUUAUAGCGCUGAGAAAAAAAUGUCGAACCGAUUCAGAUUGUCCCAAACAAAUGUGCCGAUUUCCGACAUACAAUAAAUGUGUUAUUCGCAACCAUUGUCAAUGUGUUCUUUCUAAGAUUAUAUGAUUUCAAUAACAUAAGUAGUUAUGAAUUUGUAAUCUAAGUGAUGGUUAUAAAAGGAAAUAAGUCAACAACGAGUAUUAUUUAGAUGUUUUCUUCUCUCUUUAUUUCAGAGAUAUUUCCGUUGCCUUUUGAAUUCAUGCUUAUCAAUUUUCCUUGUCUACCUUAUCUCCUAUUAUGCUAACGAGUGCAUCUUGAAUACUCUAAAAUCCAAAUAAAUAAAAUAUUACAUUGAACACAAAUCUUUUUAAAAAAACAUACCUUUAAUUAUUUAGAAAUUUUAAGCAAUUUUUUUAGUUUCUUGUAUUUUUCUGGAAUUAUGAAUAAAUGAACAAAUACAUAACAUAAAAAUAAAGUGUAGAAAAUAAAUUAACACAAAGAAUUUUUCUGGUAUAUCUAACUCUCUCAUAUUACGUGAGAAUUUUUCACUAUUGUUAAAUCUUUGUACAAAUCUGACACAAAAACUUAUCUUAUAAUUUUCUAACAACAACAAAGAAACAUGUCACUUCCUUAAAUGCCAAACACCAACAAUUAUAGUGGAGUUUGAAUCAUCUAGAUUCAAAUGACUUUUCCAACAAAUAUAAAAAUAACAUUUCCUCAUUUGCAACAAUCUAUAAUAAGUACAACAUUUUCUACAAGAUAAAGAAUCACCACAUACUUGGUGAAGUUUGUAUGAAAAAUGUUGUAGACAAACUUUCCAUCAACUUUCAUCAACUUUGAGGUUUUGAUGAUUUUCUAAUACAUGAAAAUUCGAUAUUCUCUUCCAAUGAACAAAUCAAGAUUAUAUAGAUAUUUAAGCACCACUACUAAAAAAUUCAUGAUUAGUGACAAAAAAACUUAAAAACCGGUCCCUAUAAUGUUUAGUGACCAAUAAAGUGACAACUAAUUUUCGAUAGAAAAAAUGCUAGUUAUUAACCUUUAGCGACAUAUUUAACGACCAGUUUUAGUGACCAAUUUCAAAUAAUUAAAGAACUUAAAAUUAAAAUCAAAAGAUUUGCCACAUUCAAUACUUAAACAAAUUCCCUUAUGUUUUAGAAAUUUGUGCGUGAACACUAAACUAUUUCAUUUUAGUAGUUAUAUGUUUUAAAAUUAUAUAUAUUAUAAAUGAAAUUAAAAUAUUAAAUAUUAUUCAAAAAAUUAUUAAAUUAAUUAUCAUUAAAAUUACAUUUUUUUAAAUUAAUAAAUUUGUAUGGGUGAAUUAUUUAUAUAAAUAUAUAUUUUAUUUGUUAAAAUAAUAAAAACGUGAAACUUUCAUUAAAAAAUAAAAAUANAUUAUAAAUGAAAUUAAAAUAUUAAAUAUUAUUCAAAAAAUUAUUAAAUUAAUUAUCAUUAAAAUUACAUUUUUUUAAAUUAAUAAAUUUGUAUGGGUGAAUUAUUUAUAUAAAUAUAUAUUUUAUUUGUUAAAAUAAUAAAAACGUGAAACUUUCAUUAAAAAAAAAAUAUAUUUUUUUUUGAAAUAUUUUGAAGAAAGAAAACAUGGGGGAUGUAACUUAAUAAAGAAAAUAAAACUAUUAGUGAUCGAAAUUUCAAUCACUAAAAUUUUUUAUAAAUAAAUUUUUAAUAUAAGCGUUUGUUUGAGAAUGAAAAUUAGGUCACAAAUAUUGAUCACUAAUUUGGUGGUUAAUUUAAUUUAAUGACCUUUAAAAUUUAAUGACGAUGCCGUUCAAUUUCGGUGGACAAUUAGGUGGCAAUAGUGACCGAAUACUUUUAAUUAUUUAUUCGGUCAUUAAAAACAAAUUUUUUUAGUCGUGUGAUCAAGUAUUUCUCUAAACUUUUUCAAAUCAAAUGAAACUAAAUAAAGAUAAAUUAUAAAUAAUAACUUUUGGUGGAAGAUAUUAAUCAUACUUGAAAUUCCUCGAUGGUUCAAAGAAAUGAAUGUGUUGUUUCAUAUAUCCUUAUUCUUAUUAUUUCUCUCUGUCGCUGAUAAUGGUUUCAAUAUCAACUCCAAAACCAUUCUGACACACUUUAGGGGUGACGAAAACAUCAAUCAUCGCCAAAUUUCACACUUCAAUGAUUAGAGCUUCUAUUUUCAAGCUUGUCGUGCAACUCAGGUGUUAGUGAAAUCUUAAUUUCCUUUAGUGUGUCAGUUUAACACCAAUUAUACAAAGGAGAAUUGGUUAUGUGAAAGGUACAACAAGUCCCUACAACUUUGUAUGCUUGAGAAAUAUGUCAACCAGAAGACUUGCAUUUUUCAGAUAAAUCAUCAAUAUUAAAGUCAAUACUCAGAUUUACGGUAGCUAAUAAGAACUCAAUUUCUCAUCCAGGCUGUGAAAUCUUUCACUAAAAGGUAUUACACAUAUUGAACUAAUAUGUUUUAAUCAUAGAAGCUAAAAGGUAUUAAGAACCUGAACAAGAAGUGGUCUCAGUGAUACUGGAUUGGAAUGAUGCAAUAAAAUGCUUGUCGGGAUUGUUGAUAUUUGACCAAGUAGCUUUUGUUACAGCCAUGUACUUGCUAUCUAAGAUUUUUGGCACAUGCAUUAAUUAGAAAACGUGAUAAGUUUUAUGUGUAAAUGGGUUUAUGGCUAAAAGUAGAAGUGGUCAGUUACAAGUGUCGACGAAUUUGGUUUGUCGAAAAAGUGAUAUCAUCUUUGAUCGAAUAGUAAUCAGUAUAUUUGUUUUGAGACUUUGUGAAAUUUAGAGUUUCCAUAAUAUUUUUCCAAUUAGAUGAAUGAGAUGUAAGUGGAUAACAUCAGACAGUUAUUUGAGGACACAUGAGAGUUUGUCAAAUACAAAGGCUGCAUGGAGACGAAGACGUUACAUGUUUUGCUUAGUCGAUCGUUAUAGACGGUUAACUUAAGACUAGUAUAUAAGUAAGCAUACACUUAUCUUUUUAGAGGUCCACAAUUGUACAAAAAUUCUGUAAAACUUAAACUAUUCGUGUGUUUGUGAGAAUAGAGUCAAGAAUGUAUGUAUAUGCGUUCCAUUUUUUACAAAUCAAAGUUUUUAUCUUCAGUUAUUUACUGAAUUGAAAUUUAUUCCAAUUAAUUUUUGUUUCCUANUCAGUGAUACUGGAUUGAAUGAUGCCAAUAAAAUGCUUGUCGGUAUGUUGCAUAAUUUGACCAAGUAGCUUUUGUUACAGCCAUGCUAACUGUGCUAUUCUAAGAUUUUUGGCACAUGGCAUUUAAUUAGAAAACGUGAUAAGUUUUAUGUGUAAAUGGUUUAUGGCAAAAGUAGAAUGUGCUGUCAGUUACAAGUGUCGACGAAUUGGUUUUGUCGAAAAAGUGAUAUCAUCUUUGAUCGAAUAGUAAUCAGUAUAUUUGUUUUGAGACUUUGUGAAAUUUAGAGUUUCCAUAAUAUUUUUCCAAUUAGAUGAAUGAGAUGUAAGUGGAUAACAUCAGACAGUUAUUUGAGAACACAUGAGAGUUUGUCAAAUACAAAGGCUGCAUGGAGACGAAGACGUUACAUGUUUUGCUUAGUCGAUCGUUAUAGACGGUUAACUUAAGACUAGUAUAUAAGUAAGCAUACACUUAUCUUUUUAGAGGUCCACAAUUGUACAAAAAUUCUGUAAAACUUAAACUAUUCGUGUGUUUGUGAGAAAAGAGUCAAGAAUGUAUGUAUAUGCGUUCCAUUUUUUACAAAUCAAAGUUUUUAUCUUCAGUUAUUUACUGAAUUGAAAUUUAUUCCAAUUAAUUUUUGUUUCCUAUUAUAUUUAUUUUCAAUCAUUGUAAUUAUUUUUGUUUCUUUUAUAUUUUGAUUUCAAUGUAAAACAUGCUUCAAACAUUAAUUUUCACGCAAUAUGUUUUGGGAUCUCUUCGAGUUUAAUCCCGUGAAUGAAAUCAAACUUGUUUUGUUUAUCAAAUUUCAAAGUGAACAAGUACUACCAUUAUUAAAUAACUUCAUCCACAUCCUUUCUUUUAUUUUUACCUCGAGAGUGCAUCAAUUUCUGAUUGAAUAUUGCACUUAAUUGCAAACGAUGUCAAGUCUUCCAAUGUCAAGUAGAUUUUUUUCAUCCUACAUGCUCAAUUGUUCUCAAACCUAAUAAUUUCAUUGUCUACUGAACUUUGGUUGGGGAUGCUUAGAUCUUCAUUUGAAUCAUUUCCUGGUGCUUUUAAGUCUUUUUUUGUCCAAGAGUGAACUAGUGACCCAAGAAUAAAGGAUUAAAAGCAACUUUAAUAUGUGGAAUGAUGCAUUAUUUACUAACGUUUUUCCUUUCAUUUUGUAUGACCUUGGCAGUGUGAAAAAGCUUGGUAAGUUUUUACAAAUAAGCAUUACUUCGAAAAUCAGCUAUCAUAACGGUUGGAAAAGGACACAACCACGUCUGAUCAACCAUUGUUAGGUAGGAUGUAUUGUAUGUAUGAUGCUUUCUAUCACGAGCAUAAAACCAUUGCGAUGAACUAGAUAGUGCACUGUAUAUCACAACGGUUAAAGUAUACAACUGUUGUGAUAUAAAAUUAAAUGUAAAGAAGGAAAAAACAUGCCUUUUUAUUUUGGGGUUCUUCUUUCUUAGCUUCACCAGCAUUUGAAGGGCCUUCGACAUUUAUGUCACCCCUAACUUCAGUUUCAUCUACAACGAAAACGUGAAAACUAAGUAUUAAAAAUUAAUAAAAAAUAUAAACAUUAUAUCUUGGUUCUUUAAGAUUAAAAAUGCGAAUCUGACGACCUUGGAAUUUUGUUCAAACCCUGAAGUAUUCGCACCCGUAAGUUCACCUAUUAAAAAAAGAUUAGAAUGAAAAUAGAAAUCAAGACUAUUACGAGUGAACGCCAUGCAAUAUUUGUAUUCUUGAGUAGUGAGUUUCCUUUACACGCAUUGCAUCAAAAAUUAUUGCCAAAAAUAAUAAAUUGAGUUGUGAAGUCUAUUAAAAUAAAAUUAAAUGCGUUUGAACGAUGUCAAUAAAAAUUUAUAAAAAGUUUAAAGUUAUAACUAAUUUAAAUGAUUGAGUUAAAGUUUAUUUAUUUUUAAUAUCUUUUUGUUGAAGUAUAAAUUUUUUUAAUUAUUUGAAAAAUAUUAGGACCAACUUACAAAUUUUGAAAUAAUAAAAUACUUCAUAUAUUUUGUAGAGUACGAGAGAUAUUUCAAAUUUAUUGAUUUUAUGUAUUGUUUAAAAAGUAUUAAGUUUAAUUUGGAUAAAAUAUUUAAUAGAUUUAAAUUAUUUUAAUAUAUUUUUAAAUUUUUUAUUAAGGGUGUUUGUGGUGUCAUUUGAACGGUUUUGACGUUAAAAAUUAUUUGAACUGCAAAAAAAAAAAACCAUGUUGUUCAGUUUAAUUUGAUUGGCUUUGAGAAAUAAAAUCUAACCAAACCAAAUUAAACCAAUGCGGUUUUGAUUGGUUCUAGUUUUUUACAAGACUUUUAUUGAGUUAUACAUACACCUAUAGAGAAUAACAUAACUUUGUGUUUAGUCAUUCAUACAUUACCAAAUAACAAAAAAAAAUCAUCAUAUUUUGACAAAAACUUCUCAUUCAAUAUAUAAAAAUCAGAUUAAAUAAAAGUGAAAUAAAAAAUAAAAAAUAAUAGCAAAAACAAUAUAAAAAAUAUUUAAAUAAAAAGAAAGAGGAGAUGAGAGAUUACAGAAGAUGAAAAAUAAAGAACAUAAGAGAUGCGAGAUUAAAGAAGAAAGGUGCGUUAAAAACGUAAUUUGAAGAGAUAAUAAUAACAUAAAAAUGAGAUGAUGAAAAAGAAACAACAUAAGAGAAAAGAGAUAGAGUAGAAGAAGUGAAACAUACAUAACAAAACAAAGAAGAUGAGAAGAAUAUGCAAUACUAUCAUGAGAGAUUUGAGAAGAUUAAAACUAAAAUCCUAAGAGUGUGUUUGGGUGAAAUAUUUUAAUGAGAGAAAAUUUAAAGGAAUUUAAAGUGACACCAAAAAAUAAAGAAUUUGAAGGAAUUUAAAAUGAUUAGACCAAAAUUUAUUGUUUGGAUAAAAAAUAUAGAGAAUUGAUAAAAUGUUGUAAAUUUAUGAAAUAUUUUAUUCAAGUUAAAUUUAACGAAUUUAAAGUGACACCAAAAAAUAAAGAAUUUGAAAUUACUUAUUUUUUCUAUACAAUGGAAAUGUUAAAUUGUUUAUUAUUAAUUUUUUAAAUUUUGCAAGAUAUUCCUCAUAUUUUAUGAAAAAUUUAAAUUCAUCUGUAAAAUUGUCUAAAUAUUGCAAAUAAAUCCAUAAUAAUUUAAAAAUUUACAAAUUAGUCUAUUUAAAUUUUUAAAAAUUGUAAAUUGAUCUCUAUCUUUCAUAUUUUAAAUUUGUCCCAAAAAUGUUAACAUUUAUGAAAAUGAUCCCAAAAAUUUAACAAUAAAUCAUUUUAAUACUCCAUCCAAAGAAAAUAAUUUAAAAAUGAAUGAAUUUCAAUUGAAUCAUUUAAAUUGCUUAGAAUUUUGAAUUCUUUAAAAAUUCUCAAUUAACUCAUCCAAACAUACUCUAAGAUUUAAUAAGAGAAUAUUUGUUAGAUUAAGGCAAUAAUAUAUUUGAAUUUUGGAUUGAAUGUGAGAUAAGUAGGGUUUGCGUUGUAAAAUAAUACAGUUUGGUUUGGUUUAUUUUGACUUGCAAAAUACAAACCGCAAACCAAACCGAAUCGUGUUCAUUUGUUAAAAAAUAACCCAAACACAUUUGAAUCAAAUGUGAUUUUUUACAUUUUCGAUUUGAUGAUUUACGAUUUUCUAUUUUAUGUAAACAAUACAUUUUUUUCAUAUCAUUUUAAAUUGUUUGAAAAUAUUUAUUAUCUUGUUAAAAUGUCAUACGGGUAACAUCACAUGGAUUACAUGGGUAACAAGAUUAUGACAUCAUUAAUGACAAAAUAAUAAAAUCAUAGUACCUCAUAUUCUAUUUAUAAGAAAAAUAUUAAUUUUUAAUUCAUUCAAUAACUAAUAUAUCUAAUCUAUAUUCUAUUUUGAGAUAUUAUUCAUUCAAUAAAUUUAAAAAGACAAUUGUUUUCUUCUUAUAAAUAGAAUAAAACAAUAAAAAAUAAAAACUUAAAAUAGAAAAAGAAGAGGAUCCAGAAAUUAGAUAAAAAUAGUAUAGACGUUUUUUUAAAGGAUAUAUAUAUAUAUAUAUAUAUAUAUAUANCUAAAUACAAACAAAAUCUGCUUAUAAUUGAAAUUGAAAACAGGUACACGAGAAGUAUCGAGUGUUUAUUGUAUAUUUUCUUAUAAAUAGAGCAUAGAAGUAUCGAGUGUUUAUUGUAUAUUUUCUUGAGUGUGGCUCAAAAUAUAGAAUCAUAUGGGUUUAAAAUAUCCUUGAACCAUACAUUUACACAAGGAGUGACUUACACACGUCAUGAUCUUAGGUUUUUGACAUCAAUCUUUGGGACAAUCAGAAUCUUUAAAACAUCUACGCAUCCGUGCUAUAAAUAGAAAAGAAAAGAAAAAAGAAAAUUGGAUGGAAUAUUGUAUAUAAGGUGAAGAGAAAAUUUUAGAAGAUAAAAAUAACUUACCUUCAACAUAUCAGAUAAUUAUAAAAUAAACAAACUUGAUAAUUUGAGCCAUAAUUUUUCUCUUUCAUGUAACAAAAGGUUUUAUCACUUCAUUAUUUAUAAAGCUUUUUCUCUUCUUACAAAAAUCGAAUAUGUAUUAGCGCUUAUCUUAUCGAGUGGUAAAAACCACUUCCAUAAAGAUUAAUCAUAACUAAAUGUCUUUUAAAUAUAUCAAUGAGUUGUAUUUAUCUCUUUAAUAUAUUUAUUAAAGACCUCAAAUUAAAAACUUGUCACUCAUAACAAUUCAAUAAUUUUUUAUUAAAUAUCUAUUAGUGUUAUAACUUUUCGUAACAGGAAGGGAUAAAAAAACCAAAGACCAAUCAUAUUUUUGGACCACACAUAUCAGCAUGAACUUAGUGUGUUUUAUUGAUGAAUCAAACUUAACUACUUAAUGUGAAACAUUAAGUGAUAAUGAGUGAAUCCAUCUUUGAAAUUGUCCAACAUGUAUAUUAAAUGCAAUAAAAUUUAAAAGCUACUUAAUGCACUGUCAGUGUAAAAAUUUUUACACUAUCAAUUCAUCACCAUCAUCCGUUUGUAUUACUUUAUAGAUUUUUAAAAUAAAAGUCAAAUUUGUUUUAAUAUCCAGGUCUAUUAUUAACUGACUGUGUAAAAUCCUUUAAAUUAUCACUGUAUUUCAAUUAUAUAUAUAUAUAUAUAUAUAUAUAUAUAUAUAUAUAUNUCAGUGAUACUGGAUUGAAUGAUGCAAUAAAAUGCUUGUCGGGAUUGUUACAUAAUUUGACCAAGUAGCUUUGUUACACCAUCACUGCAUCUAGAUUUUGCACAUGCAUUAAUUAGAAAACUGAUAAGUUUCAUGUGUAAAUGGGUUUAUGGCUAAAAGUAGAAGUGCUGUCAUUAACCAGAGUCGUCGACGAAUUGGUUUUGUGAAACAAGUGAUAUCAUGUGAAUAGUAAUCGAGUAUAUUGUUUUGAGACUUGUGUGAAAUUUAGAGUUUCAUAACAUUUUUUCUCAAUGGUGAGAUGAAUGAGAUGUAAGUGGAUAAAUCAAACAGUUAUUUAAGGACAAUGGAUUGUUCAAAUACAAAGGCUGCAUGGAGACGAAGACGUACAGUGUUUGCUUAGUCGAUCGUUAUAGACGGUUAACUUAAGACUAUAUAUAAGUAAGGAUACACUUAUCUUUUUAGAGGUCCACAAUUGUACAAAAAUUCUGUAAAACUUAAAGACUAUCGUGUGUUGUGAGAAAAAGAGUCAAGAAUGUAUGUAUGCGUUUCCAUUUUUUACAAAUCAAAGUUUAUCUUAGAUACUGAAUUGAUAUUCAAUUAAUUUUCGUUUUCCUUAUUAUAUUUAUUUUCAAUCAUGUAAUAUUUUUGUUUCUUUUAUAUUUGAUUUCAAUGUAAACAUGCUUCAAACAUUAAUUUUCACCAAUAUGUCUUGGGAUCUCUUCGAGUUUAAUCCCGUGAAUGAAGUCAAAUGUUUUGUUUAUCAAAUUUCAAAGUAAACAAGUACUCCAUUAUUAAUAACUAUCACAUCCUUUUUUUAUUUUUACCUCGAGAGCUGCAUCAAUUUCUGAUUGAACUAUUGCACUUAAUGCAAACGAUGUCAAGUCUUCCAAUGUCAAGUAGAUUUUUCAUCCUACAUGCUUCAAUGUUCAACCUAAUAAUUUCAAUUGUGCUACUGAACUUUGUUGGGAUGCUUAGAUCUUCUUGAAUAUUCCUGGUGCUUUUUAAGUCUUUUUUUGUCCAAGAUGAAACUAGUGACCCAAGAAUAAAGAUUAAAGAAACUUUAAUAUGUGGAAUGAGCAUAUUUACUAGCGUUUCCUUUCAUUUUGUAUGACCUUGGCAGUGUGAAAAAGCUUGGUAAGUUUUUACCAGAAAAUUAAUAAGUUCAAGCAUACUCGAAAAUCAGCUAUCAUAACGGUUGGAAAAGGACACAACCACGUCUGACAACCGAUGUUAGUAGGAUGUAUGUAUGUAUGAUCUUUCUAUCACGAGCAUAAAACAUUGCGAUAACUAGAUAGGCACUGUAUAUCAACAACGUUAAAGUAUACAAUGUUGUGAUAUAAAAUUAAUGUAAAGAAGGAAAAAAACAUGCCUUUUUAUUUUUGGGGUUCUAUUUUCUUAGCUUCACCAGCAUUUGAAGGGCUUCGAAUUUAUGUCACCCCUAGACUUCAGUUUCAUCUACAACGAAAUGUGUAAGAACGAAGUAUAUGAAAAUAAUUUGAAUAAAUAAUAUAUACAUGUUUUUCUUUAUGGUUCUCUGGUAAGAUGAAAAAGGCGAUCGACGACCUCUUGUAGAAGUUUUGUUCCAAAGAAGUGGCCUGAAAGUAGUCGUCGACCGUUGUUGAAUUUCCACUAUUAAAGAGAUGAUGGAUGGUGGAAAGUAGGAAAUUCAAGGACUUAUUGACGAGUGAACAGCCAUGCAAUAUUUGUAUUCUGAGUAGUGAGUUUCCUUUACACAUUGAGCAACAACAAUUAUUGAAUGCAAAAAUAAUAAAUUGCAGUAUGUGAGUCUAUUAAAUAAAAUUAAUGCGUUUGAACAUGUCAAAAAAAUGUAUAACAAAGUUAAAAGUUUAGACAAUUAAAUUAUGAGUAACUGUUAUUUAUUUAACUAUCUUGUUGAUAAAAUUUUUUUAAUUAUUUGAAAAAUAUUAGAGACCCAACUCAAAUUAUUACAAUAAUAAAAGUAUAUAUUGUAGGUACGAGAAUAUUCAAUUAUGUGUUUAUGAUGUUAAGUAUUAAUUAAUUGAAAAUAUAUAGUAUGUUAAAUUAUUUUAUAUAUUUUUAUAAAGUUUUUAUAAGGUGUUGUGGUGCAUUUGAACGGUUUGACGUUAAAAUAUUGAAUGCAAAAAAAAACCAUGUUGUUCAGUUAAUUUGAUUGGCUUUGAAAAUAAAAAUCAACCAACAAAUGUAAACCAAUGCCGUUGUUGGUCUAGUUUUACAAGGCUUAUUAGUUAUACAUAACCUAUUAGAGAUAACAUAAUUGGUUUUAUCAUUCAUACAUUACCAAGGUAACAAAAAAAAAAUAUCAAUUUGACAAAAACUUCUCACAAAUAUAAAAUGCAGAUAUAAAAGUAAAUAAAAAAUAAAAACAUAAUAGAAAACAAAUAAAAAAAUAUCAAAUAAAAAGAAAGAGAGAUGAGAAGAUACAGAAGAAAAAAAUAAAGAACAUAAAGAUGCGAGAUUAAAGAAGGGAAAGGUGCGUUAAAAACUAAUUUGAAGAGAUAAUAAUAAACGAUAAAAAUGAGAUGAUGAAAAGAAACAACUAAGAGAAAAGAGAUAGAGUAGAAGAAGGUGAAACAUACAUUAACAAAAAAAAGAAGAUGAGAAGAAUAUGCAAUACUAUCAUGAGAGAUUUUGAGAGAUUAAAACUAAAAUCCUAAGAGUGUGUUUGGGUGAAAUAUUUUAAUGAGAGAAAAUUUUAAAGAAUUUAAAGUGACACCAAAAAAUAAAGAAGUUGAAGGAAUUUAAAAAUGCAUGAGGACCAAAAUUUAUUGUUUGGAUAAAAAAUAUAGAGAAUUGAUAAAAUGUUGUUAAAUUUUAUGAAAUAUAUUUAUUCAAAAGUUAAAAUUUAACGAAUUUUAAAGUGACACCAAAAAAUAAAGAAUUUGAAAUUACUUAUUUUUUCGUAUACAUGGAAAUGUUAAAUUGUUUAUUAUUAAUUUUUUUAAAAAUUUUGGCAAGUAUUCCUCAUAUUUUAUGAAAAAAUUUAAAUUUCAUCUUGUUAAAUUGUCUAAAUAUUUGCAAAUAAAUCCAUAAUAAUUUAAAAUUUACAAAUUAGUCUAUUUAAAUUUUAAAAAUUGUAAAUUGAUCUCUAUCUUUCAUAUUUUAAAUUUUGUCCCAAAAAUGUUAACAUUUAUGAAAAUUGAUCCCAAAAUUUAACAAAUAAAUCCAUUUUAAUACGUCCAUCCAAAGAAAAUAAUUUAAAAAUGGACCAAUGGAAAUUUCAAUGAAUCAUUAAAUUGCUUAGAAUGUGAAUUCUUUAAAAAUUUCUAAUAACUCAUCCAAAACAUACUCUAAGAUUUAAUAAAGAAAUAUUUGUUAGAUUAAGGCCAAUAAUAUAGUUGGGAAAUUUGGAUGAAUAGUGAGAUAAGGGUAGGGUUUGCGUUGUAAAAUAAGUUACAGUUUGGUUGGUUUAUUUGACUUGCAAAAUACAAAACCGCUCCAAACCAAACCGAAUCGAUGUCAUUUGUUAAAAAAUAACCCAAACAACAUUUUGAAAUCAAAUGUGAUUUUUUACAUUUUCGAUUUGAUGAUUUACGAUUUUCUAUUUUAUGUAAAACAAUACAUUUUUUUCAUAUCAUUUUUAAAUGGUUUGAAAAUAUUUAUCGAUCUUAGUAAAAAUGUCAUACGGGUAACAUCAGCAUGGAUUACAUGAGUAACAAGAUAUGACAUCAUUAAUGACAAAAAUUAAAUAAAAUCAUAGUAACCUUCAUAUUCUAUUUAUAAGAAAAUAUUUAAUUUUUAAUUCAUUGAAUAACAUAAUAUAAUCUAAAUCUAUAUUCUAUUUUGAAUAUUAUGGGCAUUCAAUAAAUUUAAAAGACAAUUUGUUUUCUUCUUAUAAAUAGAAUAAAAACAAUAAAAAAUAAAACUUAAAAUAGGAAAAAGAAGAGGAUCCAGAAAUUAGAUAAAAAAUAGUAUAGACGUUUUUAAAGGAGAUUAUAUAUAUAUAUAUAUAUAUAUAUAUAUUAUAUAUAUAUAUUAUAUAUAUAUAUAUAUAUAUAUAUAUAUAUAUAUAUAUAUAUAUAUAUAUAAUGGAAAAAUCUAAAUACAAACAAAAAUCUGCAUAUAAGUGAAAUUUGCAAAACAGCGUUACACGAGAAGUAUCGAUGUUUAUUGUAUAUUUUCUUAUAAUAAGAGCAUUUAAAGUAUCGAGUGUUUAUUGUAUAUUUUCUUGAGUUGUGGCUCAAAAUAUAGAAUCAUAUGGGUUUAAAAUAUCCUGUGAACCAUACAUUUACACAAGGAGUCACUUACACACGGUCAUUGAUCUUAGGUUUUGACAUCAAUCUUUGGGACCAAUCAGAAGCUUUAAAACAUCUACGCAUCCUGCUAUAAAUAGGAAAGAAAAGAAAAAAGAAAAUUGGAUGGAAUAUUGUAUAUAAGUUGAAGAGAAAAAUUUUAUAGAAGAGAAAAAUAACUUACCUUCAACAUAUCAGAUAAUUAUAAAAUAAACAAACUUGAUAAUUUGAGCAUAAUUUUCUCUUUCAUGUAAAAACAAAGCGGUUUAUCACUUCAUUAUUUAUAAAGCUUUUUCUCUUCUUACAAAAAUCGAAAUAUGUAUUAGCGGCUUAUCUUAAUCGGAGUGGUAAAAACCAUCCAUAAAAGAUUAAUCGAUAACUAAAUGUUCUUUAAAAUAUAUCAAUGAGUUGUAUUUAUCUCUUUAAUAUAUUUAUUAAAACCUCAAAUUAAAAACUUGUCACUCAUAAAACAAUUUCAAUAAUUUUUUAAAUAAAUAUUCUAAUUAGUGUGAUAACUUUCGUAACAGGAAGGAUAAAAAAACAAAAGACCAAUCAGGAUUUUUGGGGACACAACAUAUCAGCAUGAACUUAGUGGUUUAUUGAUGAAUCAAACUUAACUACUUAAUGUGAAACAUUCAAGGGAUAAUGAGUGGAAUCCAUCUUGAAAUUGUCCAACAUGUAUACUUAAAUGCGAGAUAAAAUUUAAAAGCUACUUAAUGCACUUGUCAGUGUAAAAAUUUUUACACUAUAAUUCAUCACCUCAUCCGUUUGCUAUUACUUUAUAGAUUUUUAAAAUAAAAGUCAAAUUUGUUUAAUAAUCCAGGUCUAUUAUUUAACUGACUGUUGUUAAAAUCCUUAAAUAUCACUGUAUUUCAAUUAUAAUAUAUAUAUAUAUAUAAUAUAUAUAUAUAUAUAUAUAUAUAUAUAUAUAUAUAUAUAUAUAAUAUAUAUAUAUAUAUAUAUAUUAGCUAUUAAAAAAACAAGGAUCUAACUGUGCGCUCAAUUAAUGCUUAUACAAGUCAAAGAAAAUACUAUUAAUCACAAAAGGUUAUCAAAUUGAUGAAAAUUUAGAGAUAAAAAAAAGGCAUGAAUUUUGAUUACUCAGUGUGUUAAAGAGACAAACAUAACAUAUUUAUUGACUUUAGAAACAUUUAAUAAUGAAUAUAUCUUUUGAAAGGGUUUUUAGAAACAAAUACUAAAAACUAUUAAGUUCAUAUAAAAAAGGGACGAGGUUUAUAAAUUACAAAGUAAUAAAACAAUCUUUUAAAUGCAAAGGUGUGAAAAUAUGACUGUAAUUGUGAGGUUUUUCUAUUUUGUAAUCAUCAUUCUUUUUCUAUUUCUUCUUAUUACGAAUGUUGAAGGUUAGUCAAUCUUAUAUAUUUUUUGAUUCUUUUAUACAAUUUAAUUAUAUUAUUUAAUUAUCUUUUUUCUUUCUUAUAGGAAAGAAAAUAAAAUGUCGAACCGAUUCAGAUUGUCCCAAACAAACGUGCCGAUUUCCGACAUACAAUAAAUGUGUUAUUCGCAACCAUUGUAAAUGUGUUCUUUCUAGAAUUAUAUGAUUUCAAUAACAUAAGUAGUUAUGAAUUUGUAAUCUAAGUGAUGGUUAUAAAAGGAAAUAAGUCAACAACGAAUAUUAUUUAGAUGUUUUCUUCUUUCUUUAUUUCAGAGAUAUUUCCAUUGCCUUUUGAAUUCAUGCUUAUCAAUUUUCCUUGUCUACCUUAUCUCCCAUUAUGCUAACGAAGGCAUCUGAAAUACUCUAAAAUCCAAAUAAAAAAAAUAUUACAUUGAACACAAAUCUUUUUAAAAAAAACAUACCUUUAAUUAUUUAGAAAUUUUAAGCAAUUUUUUUUAGUUUCUUGUAUUUUUCUGGAAUUAUGAAUAAAUGAACGAAUACGGAACAUAAAAAUAAAGUGUAGAAAAUAAAUUAAAACAGAGAAUUAUACUAAUUCUCUCUAUCAAC